GACGAACGCUGGCGGCGUGCUUAACACAUGCAAGUCGAGCGGUAAGGCCCUUUCGGGGGUACACGAGCGGCGAACGGGUGAGUAACACGUGGGUGACCUGCCCUCAGCUCUGGGAUAAGCCUGGGAAACUGGGUCUAAUACUGGAUAUGACUCCACGGUGCAUGUCGUGGGGUGGAAAGCCUGUGCGGCUGAGGAUGGGCCCGCGGCCUAUCAGCUUGUUGGUGGGGNGAUGGCCUACCAAGGCGACGACGGGUAGCCGGCCUGAGAGGGCGACCGGCCACACUGGGACUGAGACACGGCCCAGACUCCUACGGGAGGCAGCAGUGGGGAAUCUUGCGCAAUGGGCGAAAGCCUGACGCAGCGACGCCGCGUGAGGGAUGACGGCCU
rnacentral:rRNA from 1 species